UACGAAGGGGGCUAGCGUUGCUCGGAAUUACUGGGCGUAAAGCGUGCGCAGGCGGUUCGCCAAGUCAGGUGUGAAAUCCCCGGGCUUAACCUGGGAAUUGCGCUUGAAACUAGCGGGCUUGAGUGUGGCAGAGGGGGGGUGGAAUUCCACGUGUAGCAGUGAAAUGCGUAGAGAUGUGGAGGAACACCGAUGGCGAAGGCAGCCCCCUGGGUCAACACUGACGCUCAUGCACGAAAGCGUGGGGAGCAAACAGG
rnacentral:rRNA from 1 species